AUGAACGCUGGCGGCGUGCCUAAUACAUGCAAGUCGAGCGAACAGACGAGGAGCUUGCUCCUCUGACGUUAGCGGCGGACGGGUGAGUAACACGUGGAUAACCUACCUAUAAGACUGGGAUAACUUCGGGAAACCGGAGCUAAUACCGGAUAAUAUAUUGAACCGCCUGGUUCAAUAGUGAAAGACGGUUUUGCUGUCACUUAUAGAUGGAUCCGCGCCGCAUUAGCUAGUUGGUAAGGUAACGGCUUACCAAGGCAACGAUGCGUAGCCGACCUGAGAGGGUGAUCGGCCACACUGGAACUGAGACACGGUCCAGACUCCUACGGGAGGCAGCAGUAGGGAAUCUUCCGCAAUGGGCGAAAGCCUGACGGAGCAACGCCGCGUGAGUGAUGAAGGUCUUCGGAUUGUAAAACUCUGUUAUUAGGGAAGAACAAAUGUGUAAGUAACUAUGCACGUCUUGACGGUACCUAAUCAGAAAGCCACGGCUAACUACGUG
rnacentral:rRNA from 1 species